UUGAACAUUCUUUGGCAUUGCCUUUCUUUGGGAUUGGAAUGAAAACUGACAUUUUCCAGUCCCGUGGCCCCUACUUAGUUUUCCAAAUUUGCUGGUAUGUUGAAUGCAACACUUUCACAGCAUCAUCUUUAAGGAUUUGAAAUAGCACAACUGGAAUUCUGUCCCCUCCUCUAGCUUUGUUCCUAGUGACGCUUCCUAAGGCCCACUUGACUUCACAUUCCAGGAUGUCUGGUUCUGGAUGAGUGAUCACACCAUCGUGAUUAUCUGGGUCAUGAAGAUCUUUUUAUAUAGUUCUUCUGUGUAUUCUUGCCACGUCUUCUUAAUAUCUUCUUCUGUUAGGUCCAUACCUUUUCUGUCCUUUAUUGUGCCCAUCUUUGCAUGAAAUGUUCCCUUGGUAUCUCUAAUUUUCUGGAAGAGAUCUCUAGUCUUUCCCAUUCUGUUGUUUUCCUCUAUUUCUUUGCAUUGAUCGCCGAGGAAGGCUUUCUUAUCUCUCCUUGCUAUUCUUUGGAACUCUGCAUUCACAUGGGUAUAUUUUUCUUUUUCUCCUUUGCCCUUUGCUUCUCUUCUUUUCUCAGCUCUUUGUAAGGCCUUCUCAGACAACCAUUUUGCCUUUUUGCAUUUCUUUUUCUUGGCGAUGGUCUUGAUCACUGUCUCUUGUACAAAUGUUAUGAACAUCUGUCCAUGGUUCUUCAGACACUCUGUCUAUCAGAUCUAAUCCCUAGAGCUACCAGAACUUAACACAGGACUGGGGAAACAGACUCUUGGAGGGCAGAAACAAACCUUGUGUGCACCAGGACCCAGGAGAAAGGAACAGUGACUCCACAAGAGACUGCCCCAGACUUUCCUAUGAGUUUCCAGGAGUAUCCGGUGGAGGUGUGGGUCAGCAGUGGUUUAGUGCAGGGUCAGGGGCACUGAGUGCAGCAGUGCAUGCAUGGGACCUUUUGAAGGAGGUCGCCAUUAUCUUCAUUACCUCCACCAUAGUUUGGCCUCAGGUGAAAUAACAGGGAGGGAACACAUCUCAUCAAGAGAAAAUUGAAAUAAAGAUUUACUGAGCAUGGCCCUGCCCCAUCAGAGCAAUCUGGCAAUAUAUAUUUCAAAAGGCCAAAAAGUUUCUAUUCUUUGAUUUAAUAAUAUCACUUCCAGGAAUCUACCCUAAGAAAGUAAACAGUGAUUCAGACAAAGAUUCCUAUCACUGCCUUAUAGACAACAGUUGUGGUAGACUUAGUGGUUAGGGCUCAGUGUCCUUCCAACCCUGUGCUCAUUAGCCCCUCUUCUCUGCAGAGACUGAAGGCUAAAUCCAGCAGGAGUCUGAUAGCCCGUACAUAGAGAAAGUGAAGUGAAGUGAAGUGAAGCCGCUCAGUCGUGUCCAACUUUUGCGACCCGAUGGACUAUAGCCCACCAGGCUCCCCCGACAAUGGGAUUCUCCAGAUGAAAACUCACCCUGUUGAAAACCAACAGUGAAGAACAUUCUACCUUCUGGUCACUCAGUUGUGUUCGAGUCUUUGUGACCCAUGGACUGCAGUACACCAGGCUUCCUUGUCCUUCACUAUCUUCCUGAGUUGUUCAAACUCAUGUCCACUGAGUCAGUGAUGCCAUCCAGCCAUCUCAUCCUGUGUCGCCCCCUGCUCCUGUGCCUUAGUGUCAUUAAGAAAUGAGCAUGGGAGGGAGGUUCAAAGGGGACAUGUGUAUACCUGUGGCUGAUUCAUGUUGAUGUUGAUGUAUGGCAGAGACCAACACAAUAUUGUAAAGCAAUUAUUCUCCACCUAAAAGUAAAUAGAUUAAAGAAAAGCAGACGAGCAAACUGAGAUGGUGAAAUGAAGGUGAAAUCUAUCCCUUAAAGAGGAAUAAUGAGGCCAGGGGAACAAACACAACUGAAGCUGCCAUACAUGGAGAAAUGGUUCUGUGACACACCAUGUGGUGAGGAAAGUAAGCAAUGGCUGCCUGUUUGUACAGAGGAAAGCAUGAAAUUGAUGUCAGAUAAAGACUGAUCCAUGAAUUUGGAAGAGGUAAAAAGCCAUGAACUUAAUUCAGAGCUCAAGGGUGGUCUGGAUUAUAAAUACCACCUGACAGAAUUAUUUGGUAACUAAACACAGAGACUGGCUUUUCUUACAUACUCUUUAACCCUCUCAUUUCCCGCAAGAGUUAGUGCAGCCUGCUCUUGCUAUUAAUUCCAGAGCAAAUUUGUCAGAAGAGUUCAGAAAUUAAGAUGUGGGGAAAUGGCACUUCUAUGAUGUGUUUUCUAAAAUUCAUGAACUUUGACUUACCUAAACUGUAUCUUCUGCUUUUUAUUGAAAGGCAAAGUGUUUUUAGCAACACUGGUGAUUUUCAGUGACAGCUAAAAAUACAGCUGAAAAAGGAGAUAGGAAGAAGUACUUAAUGUUUGUGGUAAAUGGAAUCUAAAUCAUCCUUUCAAUGAAAGCACUGCAAUUUCAUGUUUUUGAAAGAACGAACACAAUGCUCUCUAAGCUCAGAUAAAUGAGUUUACCUAGGGGAAAUCACAAGCAAGCAGUCAAAGCCUGAUAUCAUUUAUUUCUUGUAGACUGAGCAAACUGUUCUCUAAAAACAAGUUAAACUUGCCCUUGGCAAGCACUUAGAGUGUUUGGGGUCUUUAUCAGGUCAAUAUCAGGUAUCCCUCCAAACAUCCCUUGGUGCCACUGUCAGAGUUGGAAGUUGGGGCUGGAUAGACUAUUGUUUCUAAUUAAUAAGAAUGGUCUCAUGAAUCUUUGUUUGAAUGAGGGAAAUCCAGCAGGAGAAUCUGGCCAAAAUUUGGAAAGGACAGGCAUGACAGCACAGCCCCAUUGGAGUUCUGUCCUCAUUCCUGCCCGAGGGUGCUGGCAGCAGAUCCCACUAUAGCCUCUGAAGUUGCAGGAGUGGACCCUCCAUGCAGCACUAGGUAUCUCUGUUCUCUUUCCUUCACAAUUAGGGAGAAAGGAUGAGAACCCACCAGAGAGUACAUAUUAUUACAAUGGAUCUGGAUUCCAGUUCUGCAAUACUUCCUUUUAAAAUAUUCUAUGUACUGUUCUAGCAGCUUCCCUGAUGACUCAGAAGGUGAAAAAUCUACUUGCAAUGCAGGAUACCCAGGUUUGAUCCCUGGGUUGGGAAGAUCCCCUGGAGAAGGGAAUGGCUACCCAUUCCAGUAUUCUUGCCUGGAGAAUUCCAUGGACAGAGGAGCCUGGUGGGCUACAGUCCAUGGGGUCGCAAAGAAUCAGACAUGACUGAACAACUAACACUUUGUUUCUUCUCACUGUUGUGUUCAUCACCCCACUAUGCCCACAAACUUCGCAUAUAGAACUGAAGUUGCAUUUACAAAUGUGGUGGCAAAAGGACUGGAUAAAAAAAUUUAAGAAUCCGCCAUCUGCAAGACUAUUACCUCACAUACGGUGAUGCUUAAGAAACACUUAUUGAAUGAAUGAAUGAAUGAACACUAUUUGCAUGACGCAUGAAAUGUGC
ensembl:lncRNA